AUACGUAGGGGGCAAGCGUUAUCCGGAUUUACUGGGUGUAAAGGGAGCGCAGACGGCAUGGCAAGUCUGAAGUGAAAACCCGGGGCUCAACCCCGUGAUUGCUUUGGAAACUGUCAGGCUAGAGUACCGGAGGGGUAAGCGGAAUUCCUAGUGUAGCGGUGAAAUGCGUAGAUAUUAGGAGGAACACCAGAGGCGAAGGCGGCUUACUGGACUGUAACUGACGUUGAGGCUCGAAGGCGUGGGGAGCAAACAGGAUUAGAUACCCUGGUAGUCCACGCGGUAAACGAUGAUCACUAGGUGUCGGCGGCCAUAGGCGGUCGGUGCCGCAGCAAACGCAAUAAGUGACCCACCUGGGGAGUACGUUCGCAAGAAUGAAACUCAAAGGAAUUGACGGGG
rnacentral:rRNA from 1 species